GCACCAAAAUUCCAAGCUCAAGGACCUGCAUGAUGUGAAAUCUACUUUGUUAUUUCGAAAGGAGAACAGUGUGGAAGAUUCGAUUCUUGGGUGGAGAGGAACAUUAUAAUCUGAAGCACAAACUAACACCCAGUCAAUAGUACUAUUUGCAAGGGAGACUUAUGGGACAGAUCAAGUAACUGCUCUUACCUGAGAUACCACCCUGUGCCGGAUCAUGUCAGCCAUUGAGGCCUCCUCAGGUGAACUUAUGACAUCCGCCUCCCCAUGCGAAUGCCCAUGUGUUGCAUGGGUGUGCACAUGCACAUGUUCUGCAUGCCCAGUCCUCUCCUCGUCUCCAGGUUGCUCAUGUAUGUCUAGGUCGUCGAUUGGGCGUGCCUUCUUGAAGUGAGACCGGCGGUAGUAUCCAGCAGCCAGUGAGUCUAUCACCAUUGUGGCCAUUGCAGCUGACAUCGCUAUGAGGCCCGCGAAAGGGAAAAUAUUACCAUCACUGCCACCUUUGUAGAGGCAUGGAGAUUUCAGCCCAUCAAAGGCUGCUGGUAGAAUGUGGACCAUGCCGGUGGCAAGGAUGACCCCAGCUGCAAAUG